rnacentral:rRNA from 2 species
GGAAUCGCUAGUAAUCGUGGAUCAGAAUGCCACGGUGAAUACGUUCCCGGGCCUUGUACACACCGCCCGUCACACCAUGGGAGUGGGUUGCAAAAGAAGUAGGUAGCUUAACCUUCGGGAGGGCGCUUACCACUUUGUGAUUCAUGACUGGGGUGAAGUCGUAACAAGGUAACCGUAGGGGAACCUGCGGUUGGAUCACCUCCUUACCUUAAAGAAGC